UUUACCCCUCCUCCAUACUUGGUCGUUCACUAUGUGAAUUAUUAACAUUUAUAUACAUUUUAAAAAUAGAUUUUUUAUGCAAGUUAGGAUCAAUAACACUGCAAUAUUUUAUACAGUUAAGACGUUUUAAGUGUAGUUAUGAUAGAAACGGCAGAUGGGAGAUUGGUUUGUUUACCUGUAUGCGCAGAGGAUGGCGGAAGCAUCGUUUGAGGUUAAAUACGUAUUUCUUGCUUACUAUGUACGUAAUGACACUGUAAAGACCAAGAAGACUGGGAGAGUGUCAUCUUCUGGGAUGUGACGCCGUGUAGUCCGGUAAAAGUUCGCCGACGUUUCGGAUGAGUUUCUACCACGCUACAGGACAUCAUAUUGCAUAACCACCCCCAUAAGAACCUCAAAUCCAACAGAAGAUGACUUAAAUGAAUGCCUAAGAAGAACAGAAGACUGUGUAGUGAUAAAAACUCGAAUGUGACCUCACUGUAGGGUAUUAUGUUUACAGUUUGAUGCUGUGCGGGUGUUUGUUGGCCAGAAGGAAUAUCAAGGCGUAGGAAUGUGAGAAGAACGCUGAGCUGACACUUUCCAAGAACAGAACUGAUCUGUUUAGCCACAGAACGAAUUUGCUUGGUUGAUUAUUCCAGUAAGUGUUAGUGGUACUGCUCUUCAAGUCAGUAUGCAUGACCCGCAUGACCCACAAUUCUUUUCAAGUAAUUGCUGUCACUUAAGUAAAAGUAAUUAAAGUAAAGGUAUCCCUGUAACAGGCCGUGAAGGCCCAUAGGGUUGUGGGAUGUUGAGGUUCCCACAUA